CUCUGUCUCUGUCGUCUCUCUCGCUGGCUUUUUAAAAAUGAGGAACCGUUCCUUGAAUGUUCUGGACAGAGCACAGAAUUGCUUCUUAAGUCAGCCCGGCGCGGUUGCAAUAGACAGCCAAAAGGUAAACGUUUGCCUGAAAUCCGCACGCCGGUUCCGCCACCCCGCCCGAUGGUCUUGUUUCCUCUGGGAUGGUCCUGAGCGGGCUGUCUUCAUGCCAGGGGCGGGCAGUCGAAUCGCUGGCCUUCACGGGACCACUGGACACCUGGCAGAAAACAGGAAGCCGUGACUUCGCUCAGCCGGAAAACUACGAGAAUGUUCUUUGGCCCCCGACGUGGGGGGGGGGUGUUGUUUCGCUGGUGCUCCAGACGCCCCUACGGUUUCUUCGGAGCCUCGUCUACACCUGCAACACUAAGGUUUGUGAAGUCACUCGAGUCUCAUGAAGGAUUUAGUUGCACUGUGUUGCCGUGAACGCUUGGAUUUGGACGCAAGGCUCACGACUGCCUUCUGGAUUUUCCAUGGUAGGGUGAAAAAAAAAAAUGCGCGACACACAUCACCAAGAAUCCAUGUCUGUGCCUGGCAGUGUAAUCGAGAAAAGCUUUGGAAUGCGAGUGGACGGCAUUAUGAAUAGCUUUCCUUAGCGCACCUGCAGAAAGGCACUACCUUUAGACACACCUUUGCCAAGCGCGUGUGCGUAAGGCACAGUGUUAGACGGAUGUGACAAAUGGGUGGGUGAUGCCUUUGGAGAAGAUUCUCCUAGGACUCUGAUGGGCUGAGGUUUAGAGAUGCCCAUACAGCCUCCGGGCGCUAAGAAGAUUACAGCCGGGGCCCGAUAUCAGCCCAUGAAAUAUUUUCAUCAUCAGGAUGAAGAAAAUUAUUUUGCACCGUUUCUGUUGUUCGGAAGUGGAAACAGUUUCAGGUGUGAAUCCCCCAAGGGACUUUCUGUGGCCUCCCUACCUCUUUUUUUUAAAUUUUUUUUUU